GAUGAACGCUGGCGGCGUGCCUAAUACAUGCAAGUCGAGCGAACAGACGAGGAGCUUGCUCCUCUGACGUUAGCGGCGGACGGGUGAGUAACACGUGGAUAACCUACCUAUAAGACUGGGAUAACUUCGGGAAACCGGAGCUAAUACCGGAUAAUAUAUUGAACCGCAUGGUUCAAUAGUGAAAGACGGUUUUGCUGUCACUUAUAGAUGGAUCCGCGCCGCAUUAGCUAGUUGGUAAGGUAACGGCUUACCAAGGCAACGAUGCGUAGCCGACCUGAGAGGGUGAUCGGCCACACUGGAACUGAGACACGGUCCAGACUCCUACGGGAGGCAGCAGUAGGGAAACUGCCGCAAUGGGCGAAAGCCUGACGGAGCAACGCCGCGUGAGUGAUGAAGGUCUUCGGAUCGUAAAACUCUGUUAUUAGGGAAGAACAAAUGUGUAAGUAACUAUGCACGUCUUGACGGUACCUAAUCAGAAAGCCACGGCUAACUACGUG
rnacentral:rRNA from 1 species